rnacentral:rRNA from 1 species
UACGUAGGGGGCAAGCGUUGUUCGGAAUUACUGGGCGUAAAGGGCGCGUAGGCGGCACGGCAAGUCAGGAGUGAAAGCCCCGGGGCUCAACCCCGGAAUGUCUUUUGAAACUGCCGAGCUAGAGUGCGGAAGAGGCAACUGGAAUUCCCAGUGUAGCGGUGAAAUGCGUAGAUAUUGGGAAGAACACCUGAGGCGAAGGCGGGUUGCUGGGCCGACACUGACGCUGAGGCGCGAAAGCCAGGGGAGCGAACGGG